UCCACAUGUGUGGAACCAGGGCAUUUUCUUUUUCUAAGAGGGUAAGACUGCACGACCUCCUCUCCUUUCUAAGGAACAUCUAAGCAAGUCUGCCGAGUCCGUAGUCUUGUGACUAGUUGACAGAUGGAAACAGUGAAGGCCCAGAGAGAUUCAGUCACUUGCUCAAGGCCACAGGCUGGCAGCUGCAGGCCUAGAGCCCUUCUCAUGAAGAGCAGGAAGUACCCAAAGCCACAGCCAGGAUUAAAGAGUUGAUCUAAACCUUAGAUCUUAGCUUUAAGGUUGUAAUGUACAGUGAAUCUGGUUACAUGGAAAAGGAAACAGUAAUUGUUGAAGUAUGUUUUCUUAAGCUACAGAAUAAUUUUUGAAAUGUUUGCCUUUAAUCCGCAGACAGGCUCGCGUUUGAGAAAAUAUUUUCUUGCUGCUCAAGAUGAAUGUGAGUGUCUGAAGUACUGGAUCUUUGAGCUACAUUUUGUCAUUUUUUCAA
rnacentral:lncRNA from 1 species